CUCAUAGCCCAAAACCAACAGUUCUAAUCAGCUUGAUGAAACACGAGUAGCGAGCGGCAUCGCCGCCUAUCUACACGUACUGUGCAGAAUACAGACAGAGCACACCACGCCAAUUCAGAAGCUGGGAAUGUGCUAGCCUUGAAACUUUAACAUCCAACCUUCCGAAGCGCAGCACAUCCUGCUGCAUAACUAUAUCCUUGCACGCCUCGUGUCUAUAAAUAUUACCACUACAGCUUGUUGUUGCCAUCAGCUCGCCAAAGAACCACCCAUGGUAGCAGUGUACGAUCAUCGCCAAAGAUCUCUUCCCAGAAGAAACAAGGAACAUUAUUUUCAGUCGUCUUGAAACAAAAGACAUGGGCAAAGCUUUUGCUAUUCAAACUAGAUGUGAUUGGCUUGAGUGUCUUUAGAAGACCUGAUGAUCUUCAAUUGGUGUUCCGUUUCAAGGUUUGAUUUUGGAUUCAUUGGAAAAACAAUUGCCCCCUUGGAAUAAAAGAAAAAAAUAAAAAUAAAAAUACGGGUAAAUGGUACCUCUGUAUGCGGGCUACUUGAGCUUCGGAGGCACUUGCGAUUGCCAAGGUGGUUGAAACGACCCACGGCAUAUCAUUCAAUUUUAGCGGCAGAAUGGUCGAAGAACAUGGGAAGACAGUAUCUCACUGUUCCGUAUUUGGUGGAAGAUGUAUAAGCCUCAAGAUCACAGAUAGCAUGGAGGCUCUGGUCAUUAUGGGGUACCGAG
rnacentral:sRNA from 1 species